GUAAUGCGUGAACCCAACCUGCCCCAUGCUCCAGAAUAGCUCUUGGAAACGGGUGGUAAUGCUGGAUGCUCCAACUUGACGCAUGUCUUGUUGGGAAAGUGUUUAGUGGCAUGGGAUGGGGUCGCGUCCUAUCAGCUUGUAGGCGGGGUAAUGGCCCACCUAGGCUUCGACGGGUAGCCGGCCUGAGAGGGCGGACGGCCACAUUGGGACUGAGAUACGGCCCAGACUCCUACGGGAGGCAGCAGCC
rnacentral:rRNA from 1 species